GAGAAGGCCGAUUUGGACAGGGUGCUCCAUGU
rnacentral:piRNA from 1 species